GGAGUUUUACGCGCCGUGGUGUGGUCAUUGUAAGGAACUUGCACCGGAGUACGCAGCUGCAGCGACGGAGCUGAAAUCGGAGAAUGUGCCGCUGGUUAAAGUUGAUGCUACGGUGGAGAAUGAGCUAGCGGAGAGUUAUGAGGUUCAAGGAUUUCCUACUAUUUAUUUUUUUGUUGAUGGUGAGCAUAAAACUUACAGUGGCCAAAGAACCAAAGAUGCAAUUGUGACUUGGAUCAAGAAGAAGAUUGGACCUGGCGUUUACAAUAUAACUACAACAGAGGACGCAGAGCGUGUACUAACGUCUGGAGACAAAGUCGUGUUAGGGUUCCUUGAGUCCUUGGUGGGUCCUGAAACUGAUCAACUUGCUGCUGCUUCAAAACUUGAGGAUGAUCUUAACUUUUACCAGACGACAAAUCCUAACGUGGCUAAGCUAUUCAAUGUUGAAGACACUGUUAAACGCCCAGCUUUAGUCUUGCUUAAAAAAGAAGAGGAGAAAGUGGUGCAUUAUGAUGGUCAAUUCACCAAGUCUGCAAUAGUUAAGUUUGUAUCUGCCAACAAGCUUCCUCUAGUAACAGUUUUUACUAGAGAAAGUGGAGCUUCGAUUUUCUCGAGUCCUAUAAAGAAGCAGGUUUUGCUCUUUGCCCGAACAAAUGAUACAGAUAAAGUAUUCCCAACAUUUCAAGAAGCUGCAAAACAUUUUAAGGGAAAGCUUAUCUUUGUUUUUGUCAACAUGGAUGAUGAAGAAGUUGGAAAGCCUGUGUCAGAUUAUUUUGGAGCCACCGGAGAUUCUCCAAAGGUUAUCGGAUAUACAGGAAACGAGAAUCCUAGGAAAUACAUAUUUGAUGGGGAGAUCACUGUUGAGAAGCUUAAGGCAUUUGGAGAAGAUUUUCUGGCUGACAAGCUCAAAGCUUUUUAUAAAUCAGACCCUAUUCCUGAGGAUAAUGAGGGGGACGUGAAGAUAGUAGUGGGGAACAAUUUUGAUGACAUUGUUCUGGAUGAGUCAAAAGAUGUGCUUCUGGAGAUAUAUGCACCAUGGUGUGGGCAUUGCCAAUCUCUAGAACCAACGUAUAACAAGCUUGCAAAGCACUUACGUGGCAUUGAGUCUCUUGUUAUAGCCAAAAUGGAUGGUACCACGAAUGAGCACCCUCAGGGAAAGGCUGAAGGAUUUCCCACACUCCUCUUCUUCCCAGCAGGGAACAAGACCGCGGAUCCAAUCCCAGUUGAUUCUGACCGAACUGUAGUGGCAUUGUACAAGUUUAUCAAGAAACACGCAACUAUUCCUUUCAAGCUUCAAAAACCAGCUUCAUCGACAACUACAUCAGAGAGUCCGGAAGCCAAAGUAGGUGGCAACGUUGAGUCGAAGAAUGAAAAAGAUGAACUAUGAAAGUUACAUAGCUCUGUUACUUUAUCUUCUCUGUUAUUCUUCUAGCUAGCUUGUUUUGUAGUAGGAGUAGAUAGACUGGGCUACGAAGAUGGCCAUGGAACAUAUUUUGUUAUUUCUUUUUUGCUUUGAGUUUAAAGUUUAAUGUCCUUCUAUGAAUGAUAAGUUAUAUAUAUGUCUUAAUUUCUAUAUCAUUAGGUUAUUUUUACUUGCUGUAGUAGCAAAUGUACCAAAAACAUUACAAGUAUGAAUGUAAU
rnacentral:misc_RNA from 1 species